UACGUAGGGUGCGAGCGUUGUCCGGAAUUAUUGGGCGUAAAGGGCUCGUAGGCGGUCUGUCGCGUCGGGAGUGAAAACUCAGGGCUUAACCCUGAGCCUGCUUCCGAUACGGGCAGACUAGAGGUAUGCAGGGGAGAACGGAAUUCCUGGUGUAGCGGUGGAAUGCGCAGAUAUCUGGAGGAACACCGGUGGCGAAGGCGGCAUCCUGGACCAACACUGACGCUGAGUGAGCGAAAGCCAGGGGAGCAAACGGG
rnacentral:rRNA from 1 species